UUACAACCUCGGUCAAGAUUCUCCCAUACAGACCUCCUGCUCGGUUAUUAAGAGCUAAAUAAUUAUGGGUACUCAAUAUCAAGACUAGGGAAUAGACGUCAACAUAACCAACCUCAAUUCCAAGCACUGUGGUGAGCAAUUUAUGAAUUUGUCUUUUAAACAGCCUUUGCGUAACUUAACGCCAUUAUUGCAGCAGUACGUUACUGAUGGCCAUCAUAAAUCAGCAAUAAUUUUCCAACAAGCUGCAGACUUAACUAACGCUGUCUUUUUCCUGGUUUUUGUAGGGUGAAGUGAGGCAUGACCUGACGAAUGCCUUCCAAACCUCGUACAUCAAACUUAGUGACCUGGUGGACCAAAUGUUCCCUCCAUUCAAGACAGAGGGUCUUCCACCCUCGGGGCUCAUAGCACCCGACCAAUUUAGUUCCUUUACGUACUGGAGAGCUCCUCUCCCCAGUAUUCCUGUGGAUGAACUUAACGAUAACGAUGACAAGACCAGUGACGCGACAGCCUCUAAACAACAGUAGUAGGAAAAUAUAGACGAUUUCCUAGCAGAUGAGAGAGUAUAACAAUCAAGAGAUGAAACCUGCUAUUUAAAGUGUAUCAUAAUUAUUUCUUUAUGUUCCUAGAUUACAUAUUUGAUUUGUUUUGUAAGAAUAGGUGAAUUUUACAAUUUCUUAAAGUGAACUGAAAUUUAUUACUGGUAAAAUUGACCUUUUAAUGACACAGAGUUUCUGUUAUAAUAAUGUGUGAAUUAUUGUGUAAUGGGUGAAUUUCGCCUUUAAGAAAGAGGUUUUGUUUAUAUUACACGUGUAAAUAAUUUCAAAAUAGGAUUUAUAAUAAUGGUUAUAUCUGACGCUUUCCAAGCAGUGUUCUAUUUUGCCAGUUAUUUCAUGAGCCAUUUUCAACUUUAAUAUUGCGUUCACACUAGAUCUUCAACUUGUUUAAAUUCCGCGUUGUACAAUUUUAUUGGCUAAACGCGGUUUAAAAUAAUUUGCGGCAUGAACGAUGCUCUCAGGGCUAAAAACACAAGUGUAAAAUUUAGGCUUCAAGUUUUGUGUAAGGGUUAUAUUUUUGUUGUUGUCAUGGUUAACUCCAGGCUUUUUUCCUCUGUGGAGUGAAUAAGUCAAAUUAGGUAAAAAUUUCGUAAAAUUUAGCUAAUUUAAAAGAAAAUAUUUGGAAAUACCCUAAUUUAUUGGAACUACGUUGCUUUUAACUGAAGAGUAAUUUUGUUUGUGAGAUGUGGCAAAGAUGAGUUACUGUGAUGUUCUUUAUUUAGAUAUAAUCACGGUUUUCGACGCCAUCUUGCCGGGUAGGGAAAGCGGUUAUAGUGUUUGUAUGGGAAUCGGAUGUCAAAUAACUCUUUUUAAAUAUCAAUUUUGCACAACUUAUGAAUUGCAACUUUAUCAUACCAGGUAGCAGAUUGUAUUGACCAAAUUUGAAGGACGUAGCUGGGCUAGAAGACGCUCAGUUAAUUUCUAAUUUU